rnacentral:rRNA from 1 species
UACGGAGGGUGCCAAGCGUUGUUCGGAAUCACUGGGCGUAAAGGCGUGUAGGCGGCCUGUUAAGUCUGAUGUGAAAUCCCCUCGCUCAACGAGGGAACUGCGUCGGAAACUGGCAGGCUCGAGUACCGGAGAGGAAGGUGGAAUUCCCCGGCUGUAGCGGUGAAAUGCGCAGAUAUCGGGAAGAACACCCGUGGCGAAGGCGGCACCUCUGGGAGCGGUACCUGACGCUGAGACGCGAAGCGUGGGGAGCGAACAGG